ACAGAGAGACCCCUGUGAAAGCCAUGUGGAAAGAUGCAGAGUGAAUCGACUCCUGGAAGAGGGAUGAUGGGUAAACAAUACCAGUGACUCUCCUACUGGUGAUAGAGGCACAGUAGAAAUGAGAAGUCAAAACAUCAGUGUUAACUAGUCACAUUGGAGAAAGGAGUUCCAAAUAGAGUGAGGCUAUUUUGACAGUUGGGGGUCAGUAGAACUUGAUAUUUGAAACAACUGCUGGCAGUUCAUAUGCAUUCUUUUUAGAAGUCUAAAAAUACCGUGUUGGCCCUGUCAGAAACAGAUGAAAGAUGACAACUUAUAGUUUGUUGCUACCAAUAGUUUGAGAGCAAUUAUGCAAAUGGCCAACACCAUGGAAUCCAAGACUCAAUACCAGUUCUUUGGAUUCCAAAACCUCUUUACUUUCUAUGAGAUACACUUUUUCAACUCUGAAUCAUUUUCUUGAAUGAAGUCAUACGUGAAGCUCAAUGUCUAAAAAAGGCUCUAUCUACUUGUUUUAACCAGAUAUGUCAUCAAACUUUUCUAAGCCUAUUUUCUCAUGGUAAAAACAGAUAUUAAUGGUGCUCUAAAGAUUAAGUGAAAUAAUAUUUAUAAUGUACUUACCAAGUCCCUACAACAUGGUCUUUCCCAACAGGAUGGAGCUGGCACUUGAUUUCUGAUCCUUGUUUUUAAAGGAGGCCCCAGGAGACCCUUGAUGUAGCUCACCAUUCUCUCCCACCCAGGUCUGAACAGUUUUAGAAGAAACUCAAGUGGCACAUGGGAUCAAAUUCAAGGACGUGGCUUCAUUCAAGCUUUCUAGCUUGGCAGGAAGAAAGGAGAGGUGGUGCGUAAGAUGCGUGUGGGAGGGCACACAGAGCAAAGGAGCAAAAGGCACCAACAACCACUUCAUUUGUCUUGAAUAUUUGGCCCAACAUGCCAAAUAAUGAACCCUCAAUCUUCUGAAAAGCUACAACUUUUCCACCUACGUGUGCGGAAUUGUGUGCCUCUUGCCAGAUUUCCCAACUUGGCUUAAAUGCUUCACAAGUGAGACUUGAAUCAUCCGGCUACUGUGAGCUUCCCUAGCCAGAAAACUUUCUCUCUUUGCUUCUUUCAAGACUCCAUAGAACUUUUGCUUCCUUCAUAAGCCGAUGGUUAAGAUGAACACAGUGAGAGAGCUUCUGUCUUUCACAGAACUAAUGGAGGUUGUAGCCUAAGGAGCCAUUCCUUUUGAAAUUUUCAAGAAUUCCCACAACUACACAAAGGUCAUAUGGGGAUGCCCUGAAGAGCUCAGCAAAGCCCAAAGCCGGUAUCACAUGGCCCAUCCCAAAUGGAUGGAUGGAUACGUGUGUGUAUAUCAGAACAAAGAACUCGGCUGAACUCCUGGGAGGUAGAAUUGACUGGAAAUUUGUCGGGACGUGGGAAGCGCAAGAGGCUCAGGAAUUUGGCGAGGAGAAGUAUCCCUCUUCACACAGCAGUCUGCCAGCUGUCAGCAGCUCCUGACAUGACAAAAAUCCCAAAGCCGGGGGACUGAGGAUGCGUAAUACAGAAGGGCCCAGUUGUAACUGCGAUGUGUUAAAGCAACUGCGGAUGACAGAGCAACUUGGAAAAUAAUUAUUGUGCAAGAAAAAGUCGAUUUCUCUGGAAAUUCUGCAUGCGUCUCACACUAAGUGAAAGGAUACUACACGGAGGCUUAGCAUUUCUGAGUUUAGACUUUGCUCUCUGCGACACUUGGGCAAAGCUUCCAUUUUCCAUUACUUCGAAGUGAAGUGAGGAUUUGGGGUAAACGAUUUCUUAGAUGACUUCACAAUUCCCUUUUCAUGAUGUCCUGAGAGAGAGAGCGUGGAGUAAUGGAAAAAUCUGGACUUUUCAAUCAGCGAGACCUGGACUUGAAUCCCAGCUCAACAACUCACUGUGCUAUGAUGUUAGACAGGUUGGCUCUCUGAAUCCCUCUUGGCUUUUGAGAUUAUGUCAAGCACGAGGCUGCAUAUCAAGUUGUGUGUGUGUGUGUGUGUGUGUGUGUGUGUGUGUGUGUGUGUAUGUAGCACAGAUAUAUAACUGGAAGUGGGGGAAUGUUAGUGAUGAUUAUGGAGACUGCUCUGAUUCCCCUUUGACUCUGGGCUUGCAGACCCAAAUCAUUUUCACAGUUUAAUAGACAAUGAUCUGUCUGGAAAGAAUCAUCUUCAUGUUCAUCAUACAGCAAAAAGCCCCUCUGAUUUGUAUGUUAACAUGCAAGUUUAACUUGAAACCCCUAUCAAAUCCUUCCAGGACUUCAGGGUCCUUGGAGACUGCCCCUGCAAUCUUGUUCACAGCAAAAAGCAAAGCCUGAAAUACUGUAACUCAUACAGAGUAAACCCAAAGGAUACAGCUCCACCUUAGUAGGGAAUCCAUAUAAGCCAACAUUGACUCCUGAAUAAACUCAGGAAAAUGAAAUGUGUCCAGCGAAAGGGCUCACAAGGAACCCCCAACCCCUGGAGGGAAGUCAGACGAGCACACAUCCACCUGUCUGUCUACAACAUCCGUUUUAUUCAAAUUAUGCAACAGAUCUACCCCAGAGCUAGGGCCUCUCCCACAGCAAUUCUGCAUUGUUAACUGGAAAAAGAAAAUGAGUUUCUAGAGGAAAAAAUAAUAGAGCAAAUAAUUACAUUUCUUAAUGGCAGAGUGUGUUGGCAUGCAUAGUACAUUUCUAGGGAGGAAAUGUAAAGAAAAUACUGAUUUAUAUCUUGCAGAGAUAAAAUAUAUAUGAAAUGGUUUGACUUGAAUUCUGUAUUUUCAGAAAGCAUACUACCCUAUGCAUUCAAAGUUUAGAAGUUCAGAUAUAGCCGACACCUUGAGAUCACAUAGUCAAACACCAACAGUCAUUUUUGGAGAGGAAAGCUACUUUAACAUUACUUGCCUGUAUUUCACCUCUCUGAAGUUCCCCACGUCCCCUGACUUAUAUCCAACACAAUAUUUUACAUAUAACUUGGUCACUGAGCUAAAUGUUCCCCAAAUAGUUAGGUGAUGUAUGUGCUCAUGUUGGUACCCAUUUCCAAAACUCUACACGUUGACCACACAUUGUGUGUGGCUAAGAACCUUAAAGAAAUACCAAAGGAUGAAAUUCAAAGGGUUCUAUAUGUAAAGUCUGAUUUUACAGACUGUACUUGACUAUCAAGGCCUGGAUUCUCAACCACCCUGCAGGAGUAACUCUGUUUUUAGAUAAUGCAACUUGUAGCUAAAUCUAGGGUCUUUCAUAUUUAUUUUUUCCCCAGGGUCCAAGGUCACCUCCUAGGAUAGAAACUAGUCUCUUAAAAGAAUAGUUUGUUUUGUCCACCAAAAUUGCUUCCUGCAGCAGAUAAAGACAACUGGCACAUUUACUGAUCCAAACCCAAAAACGCUGAUAGAAGGAAAUCAUGAAACAGGUUUCCUAGCGCCACAGGCAAAUGAUAGAAGCUACUAUACUCAAAUGGCAUAGAAUAAAACACUGAAAUGCAGACUAAUUCCCCAUACAUCAGAGAUUUAGCAAUUUUAGGAACAUUUUCAGUAAGUUAAGGUCCUUCAAUAACCACCUGAGUUUCUAGAGUUUCUGAAAAACUAAUAUGCUCCAGAGCACCUAGCACACACAUGGAAGGCCUGGGAAGAUAGAAUUCACUCUCUGCUGGCUUAUUUUACUCUAAACAGAGGAAAUUCUCAUAUUCUGCUGAGCCAUCUGAAUGCUGAUAGAAUGAGGUUUGGAUUGAAUCAUGCCUUUCUUUCUGCAUGGAACAAUCUUCUACUCUUGCCUUUUUAGAUUUCUGGUAGGAAGUCAGCCAGACUGACCAAAUGAUAAAAUUUUCUUGAGUUUGUUUGUUUAUAAAGAUUUUUUAUUUAUUUGAAAGAGAGAGAGAGAGAGAGAGAGAGAGAGAGAUAGAGAGAGAGAUGGUGUGCGGGUAGGGGCAGCAGGAGAGUGAGACAAGCAGACUCCCCACUUGGCAGGGGGCCCAAUGCAGGGCUUGACCCCAGAACCCUGAGAUCAUGACCUGAGACAAAAUCAAGAGUCAAACAGUUAACUGAUCCAGGUUCCCCUUGAGUACAUUCAUUAAUAUAUAAAUGAUGCAUUAUUAUCUAAUAUCACUGAGCUUAAUUUGUUCAUACUGUAUUAUCAACUCUGGAUUUCAUAAUUAAACAUAGUAUCUAAAAAGGGUGAAAGCCUGAUUUUCCUAACGACAUACAAACAAAACUUUUGACAAAUACCAAGGCACAAUAUUAUACAAGACUUUCUUAAAAUGUAUAGGGAACCCUAACCAGAUCUACAACCAGAUAUUCAAGAUUCAGAGCUAGGGCUGUUUUUCACAAUUUGAUUAGCUCUAAACUAUGUCCACGUAUC